UACGGAGGGUGCAAGCGUUAUCCGGAUUCACUGGGUUUAAAGGGUGCGUAGGCGGGCAGGUAAGUCAGUGGUGAAAUCUCCGGGCUUAACCCGGAAACUGCUGUUGAUACUAUCUGUCUUGAAUAUCGUGGAGGUAAGCGGAAUAUGUCAUGUAGCGGUGAAAUGCUUAGAUAUGACAUAGAACACCCAUUGCGAAGGCAGCUUACUACACGAUCAUUGACGCUGAGGCACGAAAGCGUGGGGAGCAAACAGG
rnacentral:rRNA from 1 species